UUUGACAGAAUUCUGAUGGUCAGAAAACAGCGUUUUAGUAUGUCGAAAUUUACAAUUUAGUGGUACUAAAUGAUAUAAAGAUUACAAAAAUGGCGAUAUAAAGAUUACAAAAAUCAUUGUGUUAAAUGAUGAGUGAAAAUGAGAUGCAAUUCUAAAGAACAUUCUCGUUUACUGGUAUUUUUUUGUGUGUUUUCGCACGUUGUUAAGAUUAUCAAUUAUGCAACGUGCCAUAAUAUAGGGGGGCUCAGCACGCUGGUCACAUUCAACAAAUUUUCUCCCAGGAUCGCAGGCUCAUAUUGUCAGUGGACUUGCGGUGUAAAAUUGAAACUUUUGCAUUUUUCAAAGAACUGGCCACUUUCUGUAAGAUGUCCGCUGUCAAUACGAACCCGCA